rnacentral:lncRNA from 1 species
AGAAAGCGUGGAACGGCUGGUUCCAUCAGCGGGUUUCUCACUCGAAGUUGAGGUUUCAAGGUGAAUAUGAAAUGGUUAUUGUGAGAUAAUUACUCAUGGUUGUUUGUUAAUCUUCAAGAAUCAAAAUGGUUAUUUGUCUGUCAACUCUACUUUUUAAUCUUUAAACUAAAAUUCAAGAGGAAUUUAGUGGCAUGUGGGGUUACAAAUACACUAUCACCCGUUUAUAGUCUUUAAUUAGGCUACAAAAGUGUUUAAUUUGUGAUUUAAUUAUAAUUAGGUGAAUAUAUAUAUAUACCAAAUUACCAGACCAUCAAGGCAUCAACACUAGUAAUAAGAUCUCAGAGGGUUAUAAUCUGUGGAUUCAUCAUCAUUUUCAAACAAAAAGACUGCCUCUGUUUCAUCCAGAGGGUCUUCGACUACAAAAAUCUAAAUUCUAUACACCAAAUGGAAUUGGAAUAUUUGUUUAUGUAUUCAUGUAGAGAGAAGAAGCCAUUAAGGAGCUCAAACAAUUGUAUGCAUUUUGGUUUCGUCUGUAUGAAAGAGAAUACACCUCUGCUCGUGGAUGCAACAACUUGUCAUAACGCUAAAUGGCUUCUCGUAUUAGAGAUUCCAAUAUGUAUUGGGAAGAAACUUCUGUUUCAUGACGAGAGAUUUAAAAUCAAAAGAGCAAAAUGUCAA